UAAAAUGUAACAGUGUCCACUCUGGCCUCUCUCUACUGCCAGGUGCCUGCAGACACUACUGGUGGCCUCCACCCCUCGCCGGGAGGGAAGGGCUGACCACGGGGAGCCACUCUGCUCCUGACUGCCGUGUUGACAGCCCCAACGUCCCGACGACUCAGGGCGCGGAGCAAAGAUGAGGUACUAGGUUUGUGUGAAGGUAAUCUGCCUUCUCAUUAAACUUUAUUAUUAAUAUUUCCUUUUUUUUGAGAUCUUGUGAGUUUUUAGACAUGUGAUACACAGUCUUCCUCCGCCUCUCCCCGCUGCCAGAUGUUUGCCGACAGAGCUGGUGGUCACCACCCCUUGCCGGGGGAAGGCGCUGCCUACGGGAAACCACCCUGCUUCACACACCGCGAGUGAAGGAGUGCGGAGGAAGUCGAUUCUUUCACUUUGGUUUUACAACCGCUUCAGGUGAGUGUGGUGAGUGUUAUUUAUAUAUCGGUUCAGGUACA